rnacentral:rRNA from 1 species
GAGUGGCGAACUGGUGAGUAACACGUGGGUAACCUGCCCUUGGAGUAGGGGAUAACACUUGGAAACAGGUGCUAAUACCGUAUAACAACCAAAACCACAUGGUUUUGGUUUAAAAGAUGGCUUCGGCUAUCACUUUAGGAUGGACCCGCGGCGUAUUAGCUUGUUGGUAAGGUAACGGCCUACCAAGGCAAUGAUACGUAGCCGACCUGAGAGGGUAAUCGGCCACAUUGGGACUGAGACACGGCCCAAACUCCUACGGGAGGCAGCAGUAGGGAAUCUUCCACAAUGGACGAAAGUCUGAUGGAGCAACGCCGCGUGAGUGAUGAAGGGUUUCGGCUCGUAAAACUCUGUUGUUGGAGAAGAACAGGUGUCAGAGUAACUGUUGACAUCUUGACGGUAUCCAACCAGAAAGCCACGGCUAACUACGUGCCAGCAGCCGCGGUAAUACGUAGGUGGCAAGCGUUGUCCGGAUUUAUUGGGCGUAAAGCGAGCGCAGGCGGUUUCUUAGGUCUGAUGUGAAAGCCUUCGGCUUAACC